GUCCCGCAUCGGGCUCCCUGCGUGGAGCCUGCUUCUCCCUCUGCCUGUGUCUCUGCCUCUGUGUGUGUGUGUCUGUCAUGAAUAAAUAAAUAAAUAAAUUUAAAAAUAUAUAUUUUAGUAGAUCAGUGCAAUAUGAGAGUCCAGAUACCAAUAACUGAUGUUCAAUAAAAGGUACAAGGUGAUUUAGUGGACAAAGGGAUAGUCUUUUCAAUAAAUGGGGUUGAAACAAUUGGAUAUACAUAUUCAAAAAAGUGAACAGUCCCCACCUUGCACCAUAUACAAAAUAGUACAUUUAAUGGUCCGUUUAACUCAAUAUGGACCAUACAUCUAAAUGUAAAAAGAAAAACUAUAAAAUUUAUAGAUGGAAACAUAGGGGUAAGAAACCUUUCUGGCUUUGGUCCAGGCAAGGAUUUCUCAGGUGCUACACUGAAAACACGAUCCAUAAGAGACUAAAUUAAUAAAUUGGGCUUUAUCGGAAUUAAAACUGCUCUUUGAAAAGCAUUCAGAAAAUAAAAAGACAAGUCAUCAAUUGGGAGAAAAUAUUUGCCUAUUAUGUAUUUGAUAAGGGACUUGCCUCUAGAAUGUGUAAUGAACCCUCAAAACUCAAUAAUAAGAAAACAACAUAAUACAAAGAGUGCAAAAGAUAUGAACACUUUAUGAAAGAAGAUACACCAAUGUCAAACCUAUGAAAAGAUGCUCCACAUCAUCAGGCAGCUGGGAAAUGAAAAUUAAAGCAGCAGUGAGACACCCCUACAGACCCAUUAGAAAUGGCUAGAAUUAAAAGACUGACCAUAACAGUUGUUGGCUGGUUUGUAGAGGAACAGGCAGGCAUGUACAAUGGUACAACCACUUUGGGAAAGUUUGUCUGUUUCUUAACAAGGUAAACAAAACACCUACCAUGAUCCAGCCAUUCUACUUUUAGGAAUUUACCCAAGAGAAAUGCGAGCAUAUGUCUACACAAAGAUCUGUGCAAGAAUACUCAUAGCAGCUUUAUUGAUUCAUAGCCAAAAAAUGGAAACCACCCAAGUAUCCAUCAACAGGUGAAAUUUUAUCUCCAAACAAUGAAAUAUUACUCAGCAAUAAAAUGAAACAAACCGAGACAAUAUGGAUGAAUCUCAAAAUAGUUUUGCUGAAAGAAGCCAGACCCUCCCCACCCCUAAGAAGAGUACAGAGCAUGAUUCCAUCUACAUGAUGUCCCACAUCAUAUAUGUAAACUACUGUCUAAUGACAGGAGGCGGAUCAGUGGUUGCCUGAGUGUGUGUGGGGGGGGGUGUGCAGGGAGAGGGGGCAAGGAUGGAAGGAUACAAAUGGACAUGAGGAAACUUCUGGACAUGAUAGGUGUAUAUUCACUACCUUGAUUGUAGUAAUGGUUUCAUGGGUGUCUGUGUCAAAACAUCAAUCUUAACAUUCUAUGUGCAGUUCAUUGAUGCCUUUUAUACCUCAAAAUAGCUGUUAAAACUUCAAAGGUUUAAAUAAAAUUUAAAAUUCAGUUGGGCUAGCCAAACUUCUAGUCCUCAAUAGCCACACUGGCUAGUGGCUACCAUAUUGGAUGAGAACACUUCCAACACGACAGAAAGUUCUACUGAAUAGUGCUGGAACAGACAGGGCAUCUCCUGUUCCAGGCUGGCAGGAAGUUCCAAUAAAGGAGGAUGUUUCUCCUGGCCAAAGAGCCUGCUGCCCCUCUUGUCUACAGAGUAAAAUGGAUGAUGGAGGGGAGGGACUUUGUCAAGCAGUCAUCUGCAUUCAGGACAGAUCAUUAGAAAGGGGCCAGGUGGCAGGUGCUGCUGAGGGUAGGGAAAGGGGGAGGUCCUGAGGCUCUGAGCUCCACGGUGGAGGAAACCACCUGCUAGAUGAAUUGAGCUGAGGAAUGAGGGAUGCAGAGGGAGCAAACGGUGGAAUUGUAGAAAGUUCAAUCUCCUUUAGAAAUCUUUUGGUUCAAACUGGAUGGAGGAAAUGAAAGCAAGUGGGAAUGGGUGGGCCCAAGUCUCCAUAGAAUUGGGAAAAAAAUGCCAGAACCAGGAAAACCCAGGUGUCCUGGUGCUGGGAAUCUAGGUUUUGAUGAUUAGGAAAAUAAGUAGAAAUUAUAAUUGUGGGACUCGUGUUAACCAUGCCUAUUUCUUCAGUUGUACCAAUGGAGAGCAUUGCUAUUUUGCUUUCUUGUUUUGUUCCUCAAACUAGGUGCACCCCCCAACUAAUUUACGUAUUCUGUGUGGCCAGGGGAAGCCACAGCCCCUUCUGAGAAUGAUGCUGCUGCUUCUUUUUUUAAGAUUUUAUUUAUUUGUGAGAGACACACAGAGAGAGGCAGAGACACAGGCAGAGGGAGAAGCAGGCCCGAUGUGGGACUCGAUCCCAGGACCCCGGGAUCACGACCUGAGCCUAAGGUACUCAACCACUGAGCACCUGGGCGCCCUGAGAAUGAUGCUCUAAAGUGCUGAAAUCAUGUACCCAGGCUUACGAAGAACCCCGCUGGUGUGGAGAGGCAGCUGGGUGCCCGAGGCUCCUUGUGCUGGACAAGGAAUGUAACUGCAGGGCCACGGGGCCACUCGAGUUGGCUUCUGCAACUGGGCGAUUCUCACCCCGAUUCCAGAAUGCAAUGGAGGAAGAGUUGGGCUUUUCUAGAAAUCAGGCCUUUUUUGGAUAAAGGGAAGGAGUUGAGAGGACAGAGGAUGCCUGCUGUCCCCAAGUCUGGCCGCAGAGUCAUCUCAGCCUGUACUGUGACCACAUUCUGCCUGCAACUCCUUCUCCUCCAAUAUAUGUGUUUGGAAAUACCCAUUUGAACAGAAUCCGUUGGGGCCAAGGGCUUGGUGCUGCGCUGGGAUGAGACCACACGUGGAGGCCCACGGGAGACAGAGGGUCGCGCGGGGCCUGAGGGCGCAGGGGCUGCAGGAGGGUGCGGGCGGCCCAGGGUCUGGGGUCGUGUCUCCCCUAUCCAAGGAGGUCCUGGCUGGCUGUGGAGCAGUGGGGGUGCGACUCCCCGGGUGUUGGUCUACUGGGGACACCCCUCCCCAGCCUCUCCAGUUCCCUUUUAGGAGCGAGAGAGACUCCCAGAGGAGGCUGCCUCCCGGGGGUGUUGGGAUACAGGGACAGAGAAUGCUAACUCCAGAAAAUGCUGCUGACAAGGGGGCCCCCACCGCUGCCAGCACCCUUGGAGCCCGCAAGCACCUGGAGGCCGGGCUCCUGGAAGAAGGAUCCUAACCCCACCUGCCUCAGGUUUGGAUUCUCAGCAUUUGGGUCCACUGUGAAUUGAGAAGGGAGAGACUGGAGCCGGGAAUGAAUGUCUGCAAGACAAGGCCUGUCCUGUACACCUAUGCACUGGAGACAAUAUUCACCAAAUUCAAACGUGAAGACUUAGGAAUACUGGAGCGGUUGAGUGUGCCGGGAAGCAACAAGUGGGCUAAUUCUCACCCUAGGAGUAACAGGAUUGCUUUCUCCACCAAGACUGGGCUUUCGCUUUAUGCAGUUGAAUCAGUGUUGUAUAGAAGCACUCCAUUUGGGCUACGUGAAGACUCUCAACAGCGGUAAUCUCUGUUGGAGUGAGCAAGGAUCAUGUUUUCAAAA